rnacentral:rRNA from 1 species
UGGGGAAUAUUGGACAAUGGGCGAAAGCCUGAUCCAGCCAUGCCGCGUGUGUGAAGAAGGUCUUCGGAUUGUAAAGCACUUUAAGUUGGGAGGAAGGGCAGUAAGCGAAUACCUUGCUGUUUUGACGUUACCGACAGAAUAAGCACCGGCUAACUCUGUGCCAGCAGCCGCGGUAAUACAGAGGGUGCAAGCGUUAAUCGGAAUUACUGGGCGUAAAGCGCGCGGAGGUGGUUCGUUAAGUUGAAUGUGAAAGCCCCGGGCUCAACCUGAGAACUGCUUCAAAAACUGGCGAGCUAGAGUAGGACAGAGGGUGGUGGAAUUGCCUGUGUAGCGGUGAGAUGCGUAGAUAUAGGAAGGAACACCAGUGGCGAAGGCGACCACCUGGGCUCAUACUGACACUGAGAUGCGAAAGCGUAGGGAGCAAACAGG